rnacentral:tRNA from 1 species
UAUAUUUAAGUAUAAAAUGUACAAGGAUUUUUGAUGUUCUAGGGAAUGGUUUAAUUCCAUUAAAUAUAA